rnacentral:rRNA from 1 species
UACGUAGGGCGCAAGCGUUGUCCGGAAUUAUUGGGCGUAAAGAGCUCGUAGGCGGUUUGUCGCGUCUGCUGUGAAAACUCGAGGCUCAACCUCGGGCUUGCAGUGGGUACGGGCAGACUAGAGUGCGGUAGGGGUGACUGGAAUUCCUGGUGUAGCGGUGGAAUGCGCAGAUAUCAGGAGGAACACCGGUGGCGAAGGCGGGUCUCUGGGCAGUAACUGACGCUGAGGAGCGAAAGCGUGGGGAGCGAACAGG